rnacentral:rRNA from 10 species
AUCUAGGCUCUUGCAUCGAUGAAGAACGUAGCGAAAUGCGAUACUUGGUGUGAAUUGCAGAAUCCCGUGAACCAUCGAGUCUUUGAACGCAAGUUGCGCCCGAUGCCAUUAGGUUGAGGGCACGUCUGCCUGGGUGUCACAUAUCGAAGCCUCCU